rnacentral:rRNA from 1 species
AGAGUUUGAUCCUGGCUCAGGAUGAACGCUGGCGGCGUGCCUUACACAUGCAAGUCGUACGAGAAAAUUCGCUUCGGCGGGUGAGUAGAGUGGCGCACGGGUGAGUAACGCGUGGAUAAUCUGCCUUUAAGCUGGGAAUAACUCACCGAAAGGUGGGCUAAUACCCGAUAAUGCUAUGGGACUUCGGUUUUAUAGCCAAAGAGAGCCUCUACAUGUAAGCCUUCACUUAAAGAUGAGUCCGCGUACCAUUAGCUAGUUGGUAGGGUAAUGGCCUACCAAGGCGACGAUGGUUAGCUGGUCUGAGAGGAUGAUCAGCCACACUGGAACUGAGACACGGUCCAGACUCCUACGGGAGGCAGCAGUGAGGAAUAUUGCGCAAUGGGGGCAACCCUGACGCAGCAACGCCGCGUGAGUGAGGAAGGUCUUCGGAUCGUAAAGCUCUGUCGGGUGGGAAGAAGUGUGCAUAGGUUAAUAGCUUGUGCACUUGACGGUACCGCCAAAGGAAGCACCGGCUAACUCCGUGCCAGCAGCCGCGGUAAUACGGGGGGUGCGAGCGUUGUUCGGAAUCAUUGGGCGUAAAGAGCGUGUAGGCGGCUAGGCAAGUCAGAUGUGAAAUCCCUGGGCUUAACCCAGGAAGUGCAUUUGAAACUGCUUAGCUUGAGUACGGAAGAGGCUGAUGGAAUUCCUGGUGUAGCAGUGAAAUGCGUAGAUAUCAGGAAGAACACCAGUGGCGAAGGCGGUCAGCUGGUCCGUUACAGACACUAAAGCACGAAAGCGUGGGGAGCAAACAGGAUUAGAUACCCUGGUAGUCCACGCCCUAAACGAU